rnacentral:rRNA from 1 species
AAUGAACGUUGGCGGCGUGGAUUAGGCAUGCAAGUCGAGCGUGAUUUUGUAGAUUGAAACUUCGGUCGAUUUCUACAAUUGAAAGCGGCGAAAGGGAUAGUAACACGUAGAUCACGUACCCUCAGGUCAGGGAUAGCGUCGGGAAACUGACGGUAAUACCAGAUAAUGUCUCCGGACCAAAGAUUUAUUGCCUGAGGAGCGGUCUGCGUCCUAUUAGUUAGUUGGCGAGGUAAUGGCUCACCAAGACGAAGAUGGGUAGCGGGUGUGAGAGCACGACCGCAUCACUGGGACUGAGACACUGCCCAGACACCUACGGGUGGCUGCAGUCGAGAAUCUUCCGCAAUGGGCGAAAGCCUGACGGAGCGACGCCGCGUGCGGGACGAAGGCCUCGGUGUAA